rnacentral:rRNA from 1 species
UACGAAGGAUGCAAGCGUUAUCCGGAUUUAUUGGGUUUAAAGGGAGCGUAGGCGGUCUUAUAAGUCAGUGGUGAAAUCUCGUUGCUUAACAACGACCGUGCCAUUGAUACUGUAGGACUUGAGUACAGUUGCCGUUGGCGGAAUGUGUCAUGUAGCGGUGAAAUGCAUAGAUAUGACACAGAACACCGAUUGCGAAGGCAGCUGACGAAACUGUAACUGACGCUGAGGCACGAAAGCGUGGGGAGCAAACAGG